AGUGAACGCUGGCGGUAGGCCUAACACAUGCAAGUCGAACAGCAGCACAGGAGAGCUUGCUCUCUGGGUGGCGAGUGGCGGACGGGUGAGGAAUACAUCGGAAUCUACCUUUUCGUGGGGGAUAACGUAGGGAAACUUACGCUAAUACCGCAUACGACCUACGGGUGAAAGUGGGGGACCGCAAGGCCUCACGCGAUUAGAUGAGCCGAUGUCCGAUUAGCUAGUUGGCGGGGUAAUGGCCCACCAAGGCGACGAUCGGUAGCUGGUCUGAGAGGAUGAUCAGCCACACUGGAAGUGAGACACGGGCCAGACUCCUACGGGAGGCAGCAGUGGGGAAUAUUGGACAAUGGGCGCAAGCCUGAUCCAGCCAUACCGCGUGGGUGAAGAAGGCCUUCGGGUUGUAAAGCCCUUUUGUUGGGAAAGAAAUCCUGUCGAUUAAUACUCGGUGGGGAUGACGGUACCCAAAGAGUAAGCACCGGCUAACUUCGUGCCAGCAGCCGCCGUAACAC
rnacentral:rRNA from 1 species